rnacentral:rRNA from 1 species
UACGUAGGGUGCGAGCGUUAAUCGGAAUUACUGGGCGUAAAGCGUGCGCAGGCGGUUUUGUAAGUCUGUCGUGAAAUCCCCGGGCUCAACCUGGGAAUUGCGAUGGAGACUGCAAGGCUAGAAUCUGGCAGAGGGGGUAGAAUUCCACGUGUGAGCAGUGAAAAUGCGUAGAAGAGUGUGGAGGAACACCGAUGGCGAAGCAGGCCCCCUGGGUCGAAGA